rnacentral:rRNA from 1 species
GACGAACGCUGGCGGCGUGCUUAACACAUGCAAGUCGAACGGAAAGGCCCUUCGGGGUAUUCGAGUGUUGAACGGGUGAGUAACACGUGGGUGAUCUGCCCUGCACUUUGGGAUAAGCCUGGGAAACUGGGUCUAAUACCGAAUAGGACCACGCGCUUCAUGGUGUGUGGUGGAAAGCUUUUGCGGUGUGGGAUGGGCCCGCGGUCUAUCAGCUUGUUGGUGGGGUAAUGGCCUACCAAGGCGACGACGGGUAGCCGGCCUGAGAGGGUGACCGGCCACACUGGGACUGAGAUACGGCCCAGACUCCUACGAGAGGCAGCAGUGGGGAAUAUUGCACAAUGGGCGCAAGCCUGAUGCAGCGACGCCCGCGUGAGGGAUGACGGUCUUCGGGUUGUAAACCUCUUUCGAUAGGGACGAAGCGCAAGUGACGGUACCUAUAGAAGAAGCACCGGCCAACUACGUGCCAGCAGCCGCGGUAAUACGUAGGGUGCGAUCGUUGUCCGGAAUUACUGGGCGUAAAGAGCUCGUAGGUGGUUUGUCGCGUUGUUCGUGAAAACUCACAGCUUAACUGUGGGCGUGCGGGCGAUACGGGCAGACUAGAGUACUGCAGGGGAGACUGGAAUUCCUGGUGUAGCGGUGGAAUGCGCAGAUAUCAGGAGGAACACCGGUGGCGAAGGCGGGUCUCUGGGCAGUAACUGACGCUGAGGAGCGAAAGCGUGGGGAGCGAACAGAAUUAGAUACCCUGGUAGUCCACGCCGUAAACGGUGGGUACUAGGUGUGGGUUCCUUCCUUGGGAUCCGUGCCGUAGCUAACGCAUUAAGUACCCCGCCUGGGGAGUACGGCCGCAAGGCUAAAACUCAAAGGAAUUGACGGGGGCCCGCACAAGCGGCGGAGCAUGUGGAUUAAUUCGAUGCAACGCGAAGAACCUUACCUGGGUUUGACAUGCACAGGACGCCGGCAGAGAUGUCGGUUCCCUUGUGGCCUGUGUGCGGGUGGUGCAUGGCUGUCGUCAGCUCGUGUCGUGAGAUGUUGGGUUAAGUCCCGCAACGAGCGCAACCCUUGUCCUAUGUUGCCAGCGGGUUAUGCCGGGGACUCGUAGGAGACUGCCGGGGUCAACUCGGAGGAAGGUGGGGAUGACGUCAAGUCAUCAUGCCCCUUAUGUCCAGGGCUUCACACAUGCUACAAUGGCCGGUACAAAGGGCUGCGAUGCCGUGAGGUGGAGCGAAUCCUUUCAAAGCCGGUCUCAGUUCGGAUCGGGGUCUGCAACUCGACCCCGUGAAGUCNGAGUCGCUAGUAAUCGCAGAUCAGCAACGCUGCGGUGAAUACGUUCCCCGGCCU